rnacentral:rRNA from 1 species
GGCGCGCAAAUUACCCACUCCCGGCACGGGGAGGUAGUGACGAAAAAUAACGAUACGGGACUCAUCCGAGGCCCCGUAAUCGGAAUGAGUACACUUUAAAUCCUUUAACGAGGAUCAAUUGGAGGGCAAGUCUGGUGCCAGCAGCCGCGGUAAUUCCAGCUCCAAUAGCGUAUAUUAAAGUUGUUGCGGUUAAAAAGCUCGUAGUCGAAUUUGUGUCUCAUGCCGCUGGUUCAUCGUUCGCGGUGUAAACUGGCGUGACAUGGGACGUCCUGCCGGUGGGCUUAGCUCUUAACGGGGCGGCCCUAUAUAAUCCUGCCGCGUUGCUCUUAAUCGAGUGUCGAGGUGGGCCGGCUCAUUUACUUUGAACAAAUUAAAGUGCUUAAAGCAGGCUAAAAUUUUGCCUGAAUAUGUGUGCAUGGAAUAAUGAAAGAGGACCUCGGUUCUAUUUUGUUGGUUUUAGGAACCCCGAGGUAAUGAUUAAUAGGAACGGAUGGGGGCAUUCGUAUUGCGACGUUAGAGGUGAAAUUCUUGGAUCGUCGCAAGACGAACAUAAGCGAAAGCAUUUGCCAAAAACGUUUUCAUUGAUCAAGAACGAAAGUUAGAGGUUCGAAGGCGAUCAGAUACCGCCCUAGUUCUAACCAUAAACGAUGCCAGCCAGCGAUCCGCCGAUGUUCCUCCGAUGACUCGGCGGGCAGCUUCCGGGAAACCAAAGCUUUUGGGUUCCGGGGGAAGUAUGGUUGCAAAGCUGAAACUUAAAGGAAUUGACGGAAGGGCACCACCAGGAGUGGAGCCUGCGGCUUAAUUUGACUCAACACGGGAAACCUCACCAGGCCCAGACACUGGAAGGAUUGACAGAUUGAGAGCUCUUUCUUGAUUCAGUGGGUGGUGGUGCAUGGCCGUUCUUAGUUGGUGGAGCGAUUUGUCUGGU